rnacentral:lncRNA from 1 species
GCCACCUGUUUCCUGAGGGCUCUGUCACUGGGCUGGAGCUGGGGCUUGAUGAAACCAGUGCAAACUCAGGCUUAGUAGGUGACGGUAUUGCCAGAAGCCCGCUCGCGGCAGCGCCUCAUUUCUGCUUUUGCAGACAUCCUGGCUUCAGCAAAAGGCGGUGCAGAGAAUGCUGCAUGGAUGUUGUCCUUUGGGUGCAGGUUUGCUGAGUGGGCAGGUGGUGCUGCUAUCUACUGGAGCAAGUUGCUAAGGUUGGAACCCAAACCAGAAAAAUGGGAGAUGCCACGACUGACGGAGUCCUCAUUGGGAAGCAGAGUGUUUGCUGGCUGCUUGGUCCACUUGGGUGGCUACUGCUGUUGCCUUAUUUACAGAGUGGAGAUGGAGAUGAAAUCCAAGGUCUUUCAAGAUAUGCAAAUGAAGCAUCCUUUUUAAAUUCAAAUUGUGGCAUAGCAUUAAAAAACUUAUUUUGAUUAAAAAUUAUACUUGUGAAUCUUCCCAUUCACUUACUCUUUCUUUUGUUUGAUUUUUAUUUCUUUUAAAGACAUUAAAAAUUUUUAAUUUAUAUAUAUGUGUGUGUGUGUGUGUGUGUGUG